AGUGUGAUGCAAAUCACCAGCACUCACUCAUGGAAAACACCGAAACUCGGAGAAAGAGAUGCAGAGCUAAAACCUGAGAAGGAUAAGGCAGAAGAUAAUAAGCAACUGCACGAACUCUCACAAUCUCCAAUGGCGGAGUCAUCUCUCAGUUCUCCGUUCCAAUCAUCUAUAUUUUCUCUCUUUAGGCCCAAACCUCAACUCCUCACUCGGCACUUCGUCGCCCGACGGUCUAUUCCCCGGCCUCCACUCUUCCGUGCGAUAGCCGCCUCCGGUCCCGCUGCCAUUGAUACUACCAACGGCGCCUUAGUGACAUCGAAAGCAAAGCAGGAGCCCUUGGAAUCGUCGCUGUACGGACGAAAGUACUUCCCCUUAGCCGCGGUUGUUGGGCAGGAUGCAAUCAAAACAGCUUUACUGCUUGGAGCUAUUGAUCGUGAGAUUGGAGGGAUCGCCAUUUCGGGUAAGCGUGGAACGGCGAAGACCGUUAUGGCUCGUGGAUUGCAUGCUAUCCUACCUCCCAUCGAAGUGAUAUUGGGCUCUAUAGCAAAUGCAGACCCGUCCUGCCCUGAAGAGUGGGAAGAUGGAUUAGCUGAACAAAUAGAAUAUGAUGCUAAUGGUAAUGCAAAGACUGAAAUUGUCAAAUCACCUUUUGUCCAGAUUCCACUUGGUGUGACAGAAGACAGACUAAUAGGAUCUGUUGAUGUUGAGGAAUCCGUUAAAUUUGGGACAACUGUAUUCCAACCUGGACUUCUUGCUGAAGCCCAUAGAGGUGUCUUAUAUGUCGAUGAGAUUAACCUUUUGGAUGAAAGUAUUAGUAACCUACUUCUAAAUGUGCUUACUGAGGGGGUCAAUACUGUGGAGAGAGAAGGAAUAAGCUUCAGACAUCCAUGCAAGCCACUUCUCAUUGCUACAUAUAACCCAGAGGAAGGUUCUGUACGUGAACAUUUACUUGACCGUAUCGCGAUAAACUUAAGUGCAGAUCUUCCAAUGGGAUUUGAUGACAGGGUUGCGGCUGUUAGCAUCGCAACGCAAUUCCAGGAAUCUAGCAACGAGGUUCUCAAAAUGGUUGAUGAAGAAACUGAAUUGGCAAGAACUCAGAUCAUUUUGGCCAGAGAAUAUUUGAAGGAUGUUACUAUCAGCAGAGACCAGCUUAAAUAUCUGGUUAUGGAAGCACUUCGAGGUGGCUGUCAGGGGCAUAGGGCUGAGCUAUAUGCUUCUCGCGUGGCCAAAUGUCUGACUGCGUUAGAGGGACGCGACAAAGUCGGUGUGGAUGACCUGAAGAAAGCUGUAGAGCUUGUAAUAAUUCCGCGGUCAACUAGCAAUACCAAUCCACAAGAGCAGCAAAAUCAGCCACCGCCACCUCCACCUCCACCGCCUCCUCCACAAAGUCAGGACAAAUCUGAAGAUCAAAAUGAGGAAGAAGAGCAGGAGGAGGAAGAAGACAAAGAGAAUGAACAGCAGGAGCAGCAAAUUCCAGAUGAGUUUAUUUUUGAUGCUGAGGGUGGCAUAAUGGAUGAGAAGUUGCUUUUUUUUGCACAGCAAGCACAGAGACGGAGAGGAAAAGCUGGGAGAGCCAAGAAUGUCAUUUUCUCUGAGGAUAGGGGUCGAUAUAUUAAACCUAUGCUUCCUAAGGGUCCUGUGAAAAGGUUGGCUGUUGAUGCAACACUCAGAGCUGCUGCACCGUACCAAAAACUUAGGAGGGAGAAGGACACGAGAAAGAAUAAAAAAGUAUAUGUGGAGAAAACAGAUAUGAGAGCAAAAAGGAUGGCAAGGAAAGCUGGUGCCUUGGUUAUCUUUGUGGUUGAUGCUAGUGGAAGUAUGGCGCUAAAUCGAAUGCAAAAUGCUAAAGGUGCAGCAUUGCAAUUGCUAGCAGAAAGUUAUACAAGCAGAGACCAGGUGUCAAUCAUUCCCUUCCGUGGGGAUUUUGCAGAGGUUCUACUACCACCUUCGAGGUCAAUUGCAAUGGCAAGGAAACGUCUUGAGAGACUCCCUUGUGGUGGUGGCUCUCCUUUAGCUCAUGGUCUUAGCACGGCUGUUAGAGUGGGGCUAAAUGCUGAGAAGAGUGGCGACGUUGGCCGUAUUAUGAUCGUAGCCAUUACUGAUGGAAGAGCUAAUGUGUCAUUGAAAAGAUCCACUGAUCCAGAAGCUGCAAUUACUUCAGAUGCUCCUAAACCCUCUGCGCAAGAAUUAAAGGACGAGAUUCUUGAUGUGGCUGGAAAGAUAUACAAGGCUGGGAUGUCGCUUUUAGUUAUAGACACCGAAAACAAGUUUGUAUCUACUGGAUUUGCCAAAGAAAUUUCUAGGGUCGCUAAAGGCAAGUACUACUACUUACCAAAUGCUUCUGAUGCUAUUAUAUCUGCGACAACAAAGGAGGCUCUAUCAGUAUUAAAGAGCACUUAAUCUUACUGAAUAUGUUAGAAGCCGAUGUCCUUUAUAAUUUUUCAGGCAAGAUGCGAUGAUCUGUCUCCUCUGGUUGUUGCAGGUAAUAUUGAAGCCAUAGCCCUCUGUUGAAUUUUUGAAACCCUUUGAACUGUAUUGGUGUAUCUCUUGUUUUUUUUUUUUCCUUUCCAGUUUGAGAAAGAGAUGGAUGUUCAGUGAUAUAUUUUUAUAAAUUAAUUACGUUGAAAUUGGCUCGGUAAAUUAGUAAAGAAAUGUGAAAUUGUGAACUAGAAAUCAAAGUGAUUUUAUUUCAUUAAUGUUA